rnacentral:rRNA from 1 species
CCUGGAAACAGAUGCUAAUACCGGAUAACAACAGAUGAUGCCUAUCAACUGUUUAAAAGAUGGUUCUGCUAUCACUCUUGGAUGGACCUGCGGUGCAUUAGCUAGUUGGUAGGGUAACGGCCUACCAAGGCGAUGAUGCAUAGCCGAGUUGAGAGACUGAUCGGCCACAUUGGGACUGAGACACGGCCCAAACUCCUACGGGAGGCGCAGGC